rnacentral:rRNA from 1 species
GACAGAGGGUGCUAGCGUUGUUCGGAAUUAUUGGGCGUAAAGCGCACGUAGGCGGUUCGUUAAGUCGGAUGUGAAAGCCCUCGGCUCAACUGAGGAAGUGCACCCGAAACUGGCGAGCUUGAGUACGAAAGAGGAUCGCGGAAUUCCCGGUGUAGAGGUGAAAUUCGUAGAUAUCGGGAGGAACACCGGUGGCGAAGGCGGCGAUCUGGGUCGAUACUGACGCUGAGGUGCGAAAGCGUGGGGAGCAAACAGG